CAUCUGUCAGCAAAGCCCUGAUGGGUCCAGAGGAAACUCAGAACAGGGGCAAAUGAAAAUACUCCCCUGAGGCAAAAGUGUGGAGUCUGCUUUCAUGAUGGAAGGGCAAUAAGAAAGCAUGUGAUGCUAUUCUCAGUCUCCUGGUAUACUGGGCCCUGCUGAAGCACAGCGAAUCUCCCAAAUGUGGCCUUCAGGAACAUCCCACACACACCAACCAAGCGUCUCCGCCAGAUCAGAAAGUGCCCAAGACACAGCAAAGAAGACAUGUUCUGGGAGGUCCUGCAGUGCUCCAAUGCAGAGAAAGGGGAACGAAAGGAGUGCUGGGAAGCCAAAUGGCAGGACAGAAAAGAGAAUUAUGUGUUUUAUAAGGAUUCUACUGAGCGGAUGAUUAAAGUAAUGGAGGAGCAAAUGCAGAUGCUGAAGUCCUUAAUAAUGCUGCAGACUGAGCAGAUCAGUGAUCGGCUUCCACUGCAGCACAUUCAGAACUCUUUUCCAUGCCCCCACCCCAAACUCCACCUGCACAUUCCUUUCCACCAUCCGGGACUUCUCAGUUUCCCCUUCACUCCACCCCCUCAGAGAACUUUCACAAUGAUAGCUGGACCUACACACAGCUGUGAAAGACUGCCCUUCCCUGGUUCCUCUUUUCCC